rnacentral:rRNA from 1 species
UGCGAGUCACGUAGCAAUACGUGGCAUACGGCUCAGUAACACGUAGUCAACAUGCCCAGGGGACGUGGAUAACCUCGGGAAACUGAGGAUAAACCGCGAUAGGCCAUGAUGUCUGGAAUGACUUAUGGCUCAAAUCUACAUGGCCCCUGGAUUGGACUGCGGCCGAUCAGGCUGUUGGUGAGGUAAUGGCCCACCAAACCUAAAACCGGUACGGGCUCUGAGAGGAGAAGCCCGGAGAUGGGCACUGAGACAAGGGCCCAGGCCCUAUGGGGCGCAGCAGGCGCGAAAACUCUGCAAUAAGCGAAAGCUUGACAGGGUUAUUCUGAGUGAUUUCCGCUAAGGAAAUCUUUUGGCACCUCUAAAAAUGGUGCAGAAUAAGGGGUGGGCAAGCCUGGUGUCAGCCGCCGCGGUAAUACCAGCACCCCGAGUGGUCGGGACGAUUAUUGGGCCUAAAGCAUCCGUAGCCGGUUCUACAAGUCUUCCGUUAAAUCCAUCUGCUUAACAGAUGGGCUGCGGAGGAUACUAUGGAGCUAGGAGGCGGGAGAGGCAAGCGGUACUUAGUGGGUAGGGGUAAAAUCCGUUGAUCCACUGAAGACCACCAGUGGCGAAGGCGGCUUGCCAGAACGCGCUCGACGGUGAGGGAUGAAAGCUGGGGGGAGCAAACCGGAUUAGAUACCCGGGUAGUCCCAGCUGUAAACGAUGCAGACUCGGUGAUGAAUAGGCUUCGUGCCUUUUCAGUGCCGCAGGGAAGCCGUUAAGUCUGCCGCCUGGGGAGUACGGUCGCAAGACUGAAACUUAA